CCCGUCCCGCCGCCCCCGCCCGACGGGGUGCAGCAGGCGCGAAACCUUUACACUGCACGCAAGUGCGAUAAGGGGACCCCAAGUGCGAGGGCAUAUAGUCCUCGCUUUUCUCGACUGUAAGGCGGUCGAGGAAUAAGAGCUGGGCAAGACCGGUGCCAGCCGCCGCGGUAAUACCGGCAGCUCAAGUGAUGACCGAUAUUAUUGGGCCUAAAGCGUCCGUAGCCGGCCACGAAGGUUCAUCGGGAAAUCCGCCAGCUCAACUGGCGGGCGUCCGGUGAAAACCACGUGGCUUGGGACCGGAAGGCUCGAGGGGUACGUCCGGGGUAGGAGUGAAAUCCCGUAAUCCUGGACGGACCACCGAUGGCGAAAGCACCUCGAGAAGACGGAUCCGACGGUGAGGGACGAAAGCUAGGGUCUCGAACCGGAUUAGAUACCCGGGUAGUCCUAGCUGUAAACGAUGCUCGCUAGGUGUGACACAGGCUACGAGCCUGUGUUGUGCCGUAGGGAAGCCGAGAAGCGAGCCGC
rnacentral:rRNA from 1 species